AAGUCGUAACAAGGUUUCCGUAGGUGAACCUGCGGAAGGAUCAUUAAUGAAAUGAUAAUUUUUUGGGGUUUUCCCUGAAAAAUAAUUCACCAUUUGUGCAUUGUUAUUAGAUAUACUUUGGUUAGAGCUUUGAUUUCGUAUAUUGGAAUCAACUUCUUGCUAACUCUAUCCUUUCUGAGGACAGUUGGCUAUGAAGCGGCCUACCAAGGUUUUUUAUCAAACUCUUGUAUUUUAUCUGACCUAAACUAUUAUAAUUAAAUCAUAACUUUCAACAACGGAUCUCUUGGCUCUC
rnacentral:misc_RNA from 1 species